rnacentral:rRNA from 1 species
UUGGCCUUGACAUACUAAGAACUUUCAGAGAUGGAUUGGUGCCUUCGGGAACUUAGAUACAGGUGCUGCAUGGCUGUCGUCAGCUCGUGUCGUGAGAUGUUGGGUUAAGUCCGCAACGAGCGCAACCCUUUUCCUAUUUGCCAGCGGGUAAUGCCGGGAACUUUAAGGAUACUGCCAGUGACAAACUGGAGGAAGGCGGGGACGACGUCAAGUCAUCAUGGCCCUUACGGCCAGGGCUACACACGUGCUACAAUGGUCGGUACAAAGGGUUGCUACCUCGCGAGAGGAUGCUAAUCUCAAAAAGCCGAUCGUAGUCCGGAUCGCAGUCUGCAACUCGACUGCGUGAAGUCGGAAUCGCUAGUAAUCGCGGAUCAGAAUGCCGCGGUGAAUACGUUCCCGGGCCUUGUACACACCGCCCGUCACACCAUGGGAGUUUGUUGCACCAGAAGUAGGUAGUCUAACCGCAAGGAGGACGCUUACCACGGUGUGGCCGAUGACUGGGGUGAAGUCGUAACAAGGUAGGCGUAGAUGA